rnacentral:lncRNA from 1 species
CAUACAUUCAUUCAAUGAGCAUUAUAUUUACUGAAUAUUUACUAUGUUUUAAUCUUUUGAAGGCAGCUGUUAUACAUUAAUAAGCCAAAGAGCUAUGCAUCUUAUCUUGUGAAGGUUUUGGUUUGGAGAGAAAUCUGAUAGGAAGCAAGCAAGUAUAAAAGGAAAUAUACCUGUAUAUGUUAUAAUAAGAGCUGUGAAAGACAUAAAUAAGCCAUGGAACAACCCUGGAAGGGACCUUGAAAGAAACAUCAGAACUUAGGUUGGUAAGGUGGAAAAUUAUUUCACGUGUAAGGGAUAUUUAAACAGACUUCUGAAGGAGUCUAGGGAGCUAACCAUGCAUGAAGAGUAGGGAAAACUAUUUUAGGCAGAGGGUAUUACAGUCCUUGAUGUAGGAAAGAACUGUGUGUGUUUAAAGAAGCAAAAAGAAACAUUUAAGAUGCUAAAGAAUAUUGAAUAAUGAAGAGAGUUACCUCAAAUGCGGAUGGAGAACUAGGUUUUUCCCAGAUCACUCUGGGUGAAAUGGUUCUCACCUCCUUGUACCCCACUUCCCAAGGCUACUUCAUAAAUAGAUCCCUCAAGACUGGGACCAGCUAUAAUCAGGAAUGAUCUAGGAGGCUGACAAUGGAUUCUAGUGCUGGAUCUGCCCCUUGCUAACGUUUGUGAGUAAGCAAUUAACGUUGCUAAGCCUCCCUUGCCUCAGUUAUGUAAAGAAGAUAGC